UGCCUAACUCCAGAAGCUAACUGAAUUUGUUCGUUCCAAGCCGCUCUCAGCUUGGUGGUUCAGUGAACUCUUUGGUUCCUGUUCUCGUCUCUUUUCUUUUUCCGACCUAUUAGUUUAUGGUUUUUGCUUUUUCACCUUUCUGGGCCUCCGUAACUCUCGCUCCCGUGGCUCGGCUCAGUUGGGUGGGACCCUCUUUUGUGUUGACUUUGCCCCCUUCCUCGUCUCUGAGUUGGCUUGGAUCCCCAAAGCGGACGUAGAAGCGUGUACUACAAGUAUGCAGGAGUGUUUCUGCAUGUGGUUCUGUAUGAUGCACUCCGGUUUUUGGUCUCCCGUGUCGGCGCAUGUAGAUAAGUACAUGGUGCGGUACAGUGGUCCGGGC
rnacentral:sRNA from 2 species